UACGGAGGAUCCGAGCGUUAUCCGGAUUUAUUGGGUUUAAAGGGUGCGUAGGCGGCCUGUUAAGUCAGGGGUGAAAGACGGUAGCUCAACUAUCGCAGUGCCUUUGAUACUGAUGGGCUUGAAUACACUUGAGGUAGGCGGAAUGUGACAAGUAGCGGUGAAAUGCAUAGAUAUGUCACAGAACACCAAUUGCGAAGGCAGCUUACUAAAGUGUGAUUGACGCUGAGGCACGAAAGCGUGGGGAUCAAACAGG
rnacentral:rRNA from 1 species